UACGUAGGGUGCAAGCGUUGUCCGGAAUUAUUGGGCGUAAAGAGCUCGUAGGCGGUCUGUCGCGUCUGCUGUGAAAACUCAGGGCUUAACCCUGAGCUUGCAGUGGGUACGGGCAGACUAGAGUGCGGUAGGGGAGACUGGAAUUCCUGGUGUAGCGGUGAAAUGCGCAGAUAUCGUUUGGAACGCCAAUGGUGAAAACAGGUUGCUGGGAGUGUGCUGACGCUGAGACACGAAAGCCAGGGGAGCAAACGGG
rnacentral:rRNA from 1 species